UCGAUCAACAAGUGCAACGUAUUAUUCGAUGAUUACAAUACGAGAUACGACCUAUUAUACGUAAUAUAUGAAAGUAUUAAUAAAGUGAUAAUAAUCAACUCGUCCAAGCUGUUCAGGUGGGGCACAAACUUAAUUAUUGAGAUUGUGCUCUUGAUGGCAAGGGUAUUUUACAUUAGAUCUUAAACUAUUCCGCAUGAAGAUAGAAUUCCAAAUAAUCGACGUGAAUGUGCAGUGACCUUCGAUGAUGUAACUCGAUUUCAGUGACAUCAAACUCUCGAGUUAUAAUGGGUGAUCCCGGGUACCUGAUACACCCAAAGGGAGAUGUAUUGUCAAGAAAUGGUUCUGAGAUUUAUGCACAAUAAAUUUUUAUAUAAUGCUAUUAA